rnacentral:misc_RNA from 1 species
GAUGAAGAACGUAGCAAAAUGCGAUAAGUAAUGUGAAUUGCAGAAUUCAGUGAAUCAUCGAAUCUUUGAACGCACAUUGCGCCCGCCAGUAUUCUGGCGGGCAUGCCUGUUCGAGCGUCAUUUCAACCCUCAAGCCCUCGGGUUUGGUGUUGGGGAUCGGCGAGCCUUUCUGGCAAGCCGGCCCCGAAAUCUAGUGGCGGUCUCGCUGCAGCCUCCAUUGCGUAGUAGUAAAACCCUCGCAACUGGAACGCGGCGCGGCCAAGCCGUUAAACCCCCAACUUCUGAAAGUUGACCUCGGAUCAGGUAGGAAUACCCGCUGAACUUAAGCAUAUCAAUAAGCGGAGGA